AUAUAUAUCUCGAGGUACGGCUGUAUACAUGUGGAGAUAGAGGUGCUAGGGUUUAACAUAUAUACAUAGAUAUAUAUAUGGUAGGGAGAAGAGAAAAACAUUGAGAAGAAAAUAUAGGUUUCGUGAAUGUGUGCUCUAGAGUUUUUUUUGUGUGAACAAAUAUUCAGAUCAUAGUAUAGUCCUGUGUGGCAAGAGACCUUCGUGACUCCAUUGAAGACCUUCGUGGCUUCAAGUCCUUCGUGGCAUUUCGAGACCUUCGUGGCUUCAAGUCCUUCGUGGCAUUUCGAGACCUUCGUGGCUCCAUUCAAGACCUUCGUGGCUUCAACGACCUCCGUGGCGUUAUCAUCCUUCGUGGCAACAAAGACCUUUGUGGCUUUGUAUUACACUUGACCGUGUUCUUCAAGUGUGAAGUAAUUUUACUUUUGAGAAUAUAUUACUUUUGAUCAUGUGUUGUCAAGUAAUUGUAAUCUUCUAUUCAAUAGUAAAGUAAAGUUCUUCUAUAUAAUCCGCUGCUUAUCUCAUAAUCGUUCUAUCUAGUAUUUUCAUUUGGUAUCAGAGCAGGUGCUGGAGGUGUCCGGUAGAUCUAGCUAAAGAUGGAACGAAAUGGGUUGAAUCAACCGCCCAUGCUCAAAGGAAUGGAUUUUGCUCAAUGGAAACUUCAAAUGAGAUCAUUCAUUUAUGGCAUUGAUUUUCAUGCAUGGAGAAGUGUGGAACGUGGCUGGAAAGCUCCUGAGAUUUCUACGGAUGGAAAAGCUCCAGAAGGGUCGUCAUCUAAAUUAAAGGACGAAGAUGAUUGGGAUGAAAAAGAGAUCAAACUGAGUGAAGCUAAUCACAAAGCCUUAAAUGCUCUCUAUGCUGCUCUAAGCAGAGAUGAAAAAAAGAAGGUUCAGAAUUGUGUUACCGCCAAACAGGUUUGGGAUAAAUUAUGUGUUCUUCAUGAAGGUAAUGAUGUUGUAAAAGAACAAAGGUUACAACAAUACUAUUCUGAAAUUGAUGCUUUGAAAAUGAAAGAUGAUGAAUCUAUUGAUGAUUUUUAUGCUCGUUUUACUGAUCUUUCUAGUUUAUGUGAAAGCUUGGGACGUCCUUUAAAAGAAUCUGAUAUUGUCAGGAAAAUUUUGAGAUCUCUUCCAAAGAAGUACAGGAUAAAAAAGACGACGAUUCAGGAGCAAUACAACUUGAAUGAAUAUUCAGUAGAUUUGUUGAUCGGAAAUCUGAAGGCUUGGGAAAUGGAACUUGAAGAUGACGAAAAACCUAAAGGUACAAGUUCAAAAAAAUAUUGCUUUGAAAUGUCNNNNNNNNNNNNNNNNNNNNUAU
rnacentral:lncRNA from 1 species